rnacentral:tRNA from 1 species
CAGAUUUAUUUUUUAAUUUGGAUUUAAAAAUUUUUUAAUCUGA